rfam:Ictidomys tridecemlineatus contig110999, whole genome shotgun sequence.
GGGUCUGUGGCUCAGAGAGGUAGAGUACUCGCCUACCAUGCGUGAGACACUGGGUUUGAUCCCCAGCACCA